CGGCGCGCGCGCGCGCUCCCGACGGCGCUCCGCGGGGCCCCCCUCCCCCCGUGACAGGAGGCGCAUGCGCUCUCCGCCCCGCGCGGCGGGUUGGCCGCGGCCGUCGCACCGCUGCCUGCAGAGGGGAGGGAGGUGAGCGGCUUGUCCCCGCCGCGCCAGCUGGUGCUCCGACGGCAGGCGGCGGCGGGCGAGGAGGAAGAGGAGAAAGUGCUGAGAAACGGGAAGCGGUGCGAAGGGUGUUCGCUCGCGGGAGGACGGGAGUGCGGGCUCCCGGCAGUGAUACUAAGGAGGCUGCCUUGGAAAAAGGGGGGGCCGGGCCGUUGGGCGGUCGGGCAGUGCUGAGGGGAGGUGGGUGAGGAGGCACCCCGUGCUGGGUCCUGCGCCUCGCCGUGUUUUUCCUUUGCUUCCCCACGCAGGGUCUGGGUAGCUGGGUGGCUCAGCGUGGCUGCUGCCUGCCGCUCCUCACCGCGGCGAAGGCGAGAGGGAAGGAAGCCGUGUGAGAAUGAACAGUGCGGGGAGCAGAGCUCUGUGGUGAAACGCAGGGCCCCGCUGCCUUUCCAGCGCGGUCCCAACGUUGUCAAAUGGUGCCCUGCAGCGUGUUUCGCCAUUACCUGCUGCCCGGGUUUAAGGUGGAGAGGCCCCCCGGGGAGCCAACUCGUGGCAGAGAUGUUUGUCUCUGGUGGUAGAAGUAUUUAACUGUGGUUUGUCAAGCGAAUGAUUUCAUCCAUUUUGUGCAGCAGGAAGCUUGCAAGACAGUGAGUAAAUGCACUGAAGAAUGUGAAAAACCGUGCAGGAUGGUAUCCUUCUCAUUACACAGAAACAACUUUCCAAACCAGGCAGUUGAAAAAAACCCCCAAACUUGUCUGGCUGCUUGAGAGCUCCCUCUCGUGGUAAACUUUCCUGAAAGAUCUUCGCAAGUAUUCCCGUCCAAAGGCACGUCGUUGAAACUUUACUGACCGUAUGUGUUACUGAUAACGCUGUGCAGAAAAAGAAAGAAGCCAAGCUAGCAGAUCAUAUUUUUUGCUUGGCUUCCACCCUUCUCACAUUGAAACCUACUAGUUUGGUAUGGAUGCAAAUAUCAGUUGGUAUUUUGGGGGAAUUUCUGUAAAUGAGCAUGCAUAUGAAAAAACUAAGCAUUCAUUUCAGUUCUAGAAAAAGAAAAACCCCACCAAAAAAACCCACCAAGUCAUGGAUGAUUUUAUUUUUUACCCUAAAAAGAAAAUAUUGUUGCUUCUAGGAAUACAGGGGGUGCACCGAUUCUCCCUGUUUUCCUAUGGUUAAAAUGCUGGCCUGUCCAGAUCUUCCAAGCUAGAAUGAAUUGUCAUUUUAGAGUAAAAAUUGAAAUGAGAUAAUAGCCAUAAAUGCAGCUCUGAAAAUAAUAGCACUGUAAAUCAAGUAAAAUAGGGUGAAAAGUAGGGUAGAUCAUGGGGGAAGACAAUAAGAUUGGUUUUGUGUAUGUCUGUAUCUGUGGUUUCUGAAGUGGACUGUUUAAAUGUAGUUGAAUUCAUAGUGUUUUAAUGAUGAACAUAUAGCUCACUCUGUCAAGAAAAUAAAGCAUUUAGUUACAUAUAGUUAUCUAACUUGGAAACAAGUAACAAAACCACAUGAAUCCAAGCAACUCAAAUUUGGGCAAUUUUUGAAAGCUAAGGUUGGAUUCGGAUCCUAUGGCUCUGACUAGUAUCGGGGAUUGGGCUUGCUAUUUUGCCUUUUUUUACUUGCAGGAAAAGUUUGAGGUACUGAUGUGAUGUGUAUUGAUGGGAUCUUUCAAAGGAAGUAUGUGGAAACAAUAAUUAAUUGAAGUAAUAAAAAUGAGUAAAAGUUUCUUAUAAUUAAAAUGUAAUAUAAUUGUCAGAACUUAAAUGAUAAAUUAUUAUAUAAACAUAUAUGCACAAAUUUCAUUAAAACCCAACCUGUUUCAAAUAAUCAUUCAGAACAACUUCUAACUUUUCUUUGGUAUUUAUUGAACUCCUGUGGAUCUUCAGUUUACUUCCCAAAAAAUAAUUUAUUUGAUAUUUGCAGAUGCCUUUUGACAUAUAUAUCUCUCUCUCUAAGGAAUUUGAUAUUCAUUUACCCUAAUCCAUAAAGUUGCAGUUAGGAGUUUCAUAAAACAACAUUUAAGUGCCAAUUUAGCAGUAUUUUAAUCAAAAUUUUAGGUACUUCACCAUUUCUACAUUCUAGAAUGGAAAUGGUUAGAGAAAUGAAUGACAGAUUUGAUACACAGGCACUUUGAACAGACAAAAUUUCUUAAGAGUCAAAUUAUGAAUAGGGGUUUUGUUCCCCUUUUAGAGCCUCUAUAUUCCCACUGAGAGAACUCACUUAUCCACAUUGCAGGUCUGGGGGACUAUUUCACUAUAGACAAAUCAAGGAAAAUAUUUUGUAAUAUAAGCAACAGUAUAAUAUAAAUUUUUUAUAUGAAAUCCCAAGUAAUAUUCGUGGCCACAGAAGUGGACUCUUUUUAAUCUUCUUUUAACUGAGUAACCAUAUUGUCUGAGAUACCCCAAUUAUGAAUUCACUUUUUUUUUAAUAUUGUAUGACUCAUAUCAGAAACAUUCUUGUCUUCGUUGCCAGCAUUGAAAGACAAUAAGCAGCCUAUUUAGAAGUAAAUUCCUAUUGAAAUAAAAAUUUCUGCAUACGGGUAUUUCUGCAUACAAAUGUAUCCUGUGCUGUGAACUUUCCAGAACAUACUCCCAGUGCAUAAGUGAGCAAGCAUGUCAGUGCUCAGAGUGACAACAGAUGCAAAGCCCUGAAACAACCAGGCAAGCCGGGACAGGGGCCUCAGUGGCAAAGCCAUGCUGUGCCCCAUGCCAGAGGAAGGCGAGCAGAGCGGUCCCCUGGCAGCGCUCAGGGUCAGCGGGUGCCUGCCAGGCAGGUCUGCAGUCACAAGGCAGGUCCCACGUCAAGCCAGGUGUCUGACUCAUGGAGGUACAUGGCUUGGGCCAUUGCAUGGCCCCAGUGUACCUCAGGCGGGGGCCCAGGGCGAGAGCGGCAGCUUAAAUGUGGCAUGUGGCUCCCAAGCGAAGUGGGGAGGCCUCCAGCAAGGCUUCCCACAGCUCUUUCUCACCCAGCAGCUUUUCAUGGCCAUCUGAUCCAAGGUUACACAGCUACACCACAUCAAUGCUGCCCUCCAGCACAGGCAGGCAGACUUCUGCUGGGGGACUG